GUCCAUCGGGAUGCCCAUUUUUGCCUAAGUCGCAUAUUUGGGUUUUCAACUUAGUGGGAUUUUCUAUUAUUAUUUUUAUGUAAUCCCUAACUUUUGCAUGAACAUUUCUUUUUCUGGUCCAUCGGGAUACCCCCUUUUGACUAGAUCGUCCUUGCGGAUGUCAAUCUAGAGGGCUUUUUAUUUCAUUUUUGUAGGCAUAAUAUUUUUUUACUACAUCGGAAUUCACUGGC
rnacentral:lncRNA from 1 species